GGGCGGCUAGCUCAGUUGGUUAGAGCGUCUGGUUUACACCCAGUAGGUCGGGGGUUCGAGUCCCUCGCCGCCCACCA
rnacentral:tRNA from 1 species